AGCAUUCUGUACCUGUGUUAAGAUUUAGUCAGGAAGCAAACCAACAGGACUGACUAAACUUUCAAGAUAAUCGAAGUA
rfam:Schistosoma margrebowiei strain Zambia genome assembly, scaffold: SMRZ_contig0004454